AGCGAACGCUGGCGGCAGGCUUAACACAUGCAAGUCGAGCGCCCCGCAAGGGGAGCGGCAGACGGGUGGGUAACACGUGGGAAUCUACCCAUCCCUACGGAACAACUCCGGGAAACUGGAGCUAAUACCGUAUACGCCCUUUUGGGGAAAGAUUUAUCGGGGAUGGAUGAGCCCGCGUUGGAUUAGCUAGUUGGUGGGGUAAAGGCCUACCAAGGCGACGAUCCAUAGCUGGUCUGAGAGGAUGAUCAGCCACAUUGGGACUGAGACACGGCCCAAACUCCUACGGGAGGCAGCAGUGGGGAAUAUUGGACAAUGGGCGCAAGCCUGAUCCAGCCAUGCCGCGUGAGUGAUGAAGGCCUUAGGGUUGUAAAGCUCUUUCACCGGAGAAGAUAAUGACGGUAUCCGGAGAAGAAGCCCCGGCUAACUUCGUGCCAGCCGCCGCAGUAACAC
rnacentral:rRNA from 1 species